rnacentral:rRNA from 1 species
UACGGAAGGGGCGAGCGUUGUUCGGAAUCAUUGGGCGUAAAGAGCGUGUAGGCGGUCUGGUAGGUCCGUUGUGAAAACUCGAGGCUCAACCUCGAGACGCCGAUGGAAACCAUCAGACUAGAGUCCGGAAGAGGAGAGUGGAAUUCCGUGGUGUAGCGGUGAAAUGCGCAGAUAUCAGGAAGAACACCCGUGGCUAAGGCGGCUCUCUAGUACGGUACUGACGCUGAGACGCGAAAGCGUGGGGAGCGAACAGG